rnacentral:rRNA from 1 species
CGUAGGGUGCGAGCGUUAAUCGGAAUUACUGGGCGUAAAGCGUGCGCAGGCGGUUAUGUAAGACAGAUGUGAAAUCCCCGGGCUCAACCUGGGAACUGCAUUUGUGACUGCAUGGCUAGAGUACGGUAGAGGGGGAUGGAAUUCCACGUGUAGCAGUGAAAUGCGUAGAGAUGUGGAGGAACACCAAUGGCGAAGGCAGCCCCCUGGGUCGAUACUGACGCUCAUGCACGAAAGCGUGGGUAGCAAACAGGAUUAGAUACCCUGGUAGUCCACGCCCUAAACGAUGUCAACUAGGUGUUGGGAGGGUAAAACCUUUUAGUACCGGAGCUAACGCGUGAAGUUGACCGCCUGGGGAGUACGGCCGCAAGGUUA